rnacentral:rRNA from 1 species
CCUACGGGAGGCUGCAGUGGGGAAUAUUGGACAAUGGGCGAAAGCCUGAUCCAGCCAUGCCGCGUGUGUGAAGAAGGCCUUCGGGUUGUAAAGCACUUUCAGUGGGGAAGAAAGCCUUGGGGCUAAUACCCUCGAGGAAGGACAUCACCCACAGAAGAAGCACCGGCUAACUCCGUGCCAGCAGCCGCGGUAAUACGGAGGGUGCGAGCGUUAAUCGGAAUUACUAGGCGUAAAGCGCGCGUAGGCGGUCUGAUAAGCCGGUUGUGAAAGCCCCGGGCUCAACCUGGGAACGGCAUCCGGAACUGUCAGGCUAGAGUGCAGGAGAGGAAGGUAGAAUUCCCGGUGUAGCGGUGAAAUGCGUAGAGAUCGGGAGGAAUACCAGUGGCGAAGGCGGCCUUCUGGACUGACACUGACGCUGAGGUGCGAAAGCGUGGGUAGCAAACAGGAUUAGAUACCCCAGUAGUC